UACAAUCCCUUCCACAAGAAGCAAAAGAAAAAUACUUCGAAGAACUUAUCAACAAAAAUGAUGAAGUUUUCUUCUCUUCUUGUGCUUUUCUUUAUUUUCCCGAUCGCAUUGGCCCAACUGCGAGUCGGAUUUUAUAGCCGGUCAUGCCCUCAAGCCGAGACUAUCGUACGCAAUCUGGUGCGCCAACGGUUUGGUGUUGACCCAACCGUAACUGCUGCUUUGCUCCGUAUGCACUUUCACGACUGUUUCGUUAGGGGCUGUGACGCUUCCCUUCUCAUUGACUCAACCAACUCUGAGAAAACGGCCGGACCAAACGGAAGCGUUAGAGAAUUUGACCUGAUUGACCGCAUCAAGGCUCAGCUAGAGGCUGCGUCUCCCUCCACGGUCUCAUGCGCUCGGGCCCGGUCUUGAGCAGAUACUCAAGAAACAUUGGCCCACAUUUUUGGUUUCGUAUUGGACCCGAAAUAUCUCAGGACCGGCACUGACUGUAAGGAACUAAUUGCAAUGGUAAAAGACCCUCAGACGUGGCCAAGCUUUUCGACGGAAUUGGAAAGGAUAGAGACGCUACAGAUAUGUUUCCCAGCUUUCAACAUCUCGCAUGUUCCACGGACGCACAAUCAGAUUGCUGAUUUUUUGGCUAAGACUGCUAGAUCUUUUCAUAGGGAGUUACAUUUUGUUGGUUGUUCUAUUCCGGUUUGGUUACCUAGACCACUUCAAGUUUGAGUAAUAGAAUGGACUUUUGACGUUAAAAAAAAAAAAAAAAGAAUAUACGAAUAAACACAAGAACCAAUGAAAUCCGUCUUUUUGAGGAUAAGUAUUUAAUUGAGUUCAUUGGCAAAAGAGUUCUUGGGAAAUUAUAUUCUUGGUCAAACAAAUAGACAGCCAUUUGUUAGGGCUUUCCAAUAUGGUCAUCAGUUGAUUAAUUAACACAGUUAUAUUAUUCUUUU